rnacentral:rRNA from 1 species
AUGAAGUCCACCGCGGCACUGUUGCUGGUGGUACUAGCCGCAGCCGCUCGCCUGCUGCCGUUGGCGCAAUGCGACGGGCCCAACCCGGAGAUCCGCAACACCGGCGGGCUGAGCCGGCAGGGCUUCCCGGCGGGGUUCGUCUUCGGGACGGCCGCGUCGGCGUACCAGGUGGAGGGCAUGGCGAGGCAGGGCGGCCGCGGGCCCAGCAUCUGGGACGCCUUCGCGGCCAUACCGGGGACGAUCGCCGGCAAUGGCUCCGCCGACGUGACGGUCGACGAGUACCAUAGGUACAAGGAGGAUGUGGGCAUAAUGAAGGACAUGGGCUUCGACGCGUACCGGUUCUCGAUCUCCUGGUCCAGGAUUUUCCCAGAUGGAACUGGGAAGGUGAACCAGGAAGGAGUGGACUACUACAACAGGCUCAUAGACUACAUGCUCCAGCAAGGCAUCACCCCGUAUGCAAACCUCUACCACUAUGACCUCCCGCUGGCGCUCCACCAGCAGUACCUAGGCUGGCUAAGCCCAAAGAUUGUGGGCGCGUUUGCGGACUAUGCCGAGUUCUGCUUCAAGGUGUUUGGAGACAGGGUGAAGAACUGGUUUACCUUUAACGAGCCGAGGGUCGUCGCCGCUCUGGGGUAUGACAAUGGCUUGCAUGCGCCGGGGAGGUGUUCCAAGUGCCCUGCAGGAGGCGACUCCAGGACUGAGCCAUACAUUGUCACACACAAUAUAAUCCUUUCGCACGCCGCGGCAGUGCAGCGAUACCGCGAGAAGUAUCAGCCUCACCAGAAGGGGAGGAUUGGGAUUCUCUUGGAUUUCGUGUGGUACGAACCUCACAGCGACAGCAACGCGGAUCAAGCUGCGGCGCAGAGGGCAAGGGACUUCCACAUUGGAUGGUUCCUCGACCCCAUUACCAAUGGUCGCUAUCCAUCGUCAAUGCUCAAGAUUGUCGGUAACAGGUUGCCGGGCUUCAGUGCCGACGAGUCCAGGAUGGUGAAAGGCUCCAUUGACUAUGUUGGUAUCAACCAGUACACUUCUUACUACAUGAAGGACCCUGGGGCAUGGAACCAGACGCCGGUCAGUUACCAGGAUGAUUGGCAUGUUGGAUUUGUUUACGAACGAAACGGUGUGCCGAUUGGACCUCGUGCAAACUCUGACUGGCUUUACAUUGUGCCAUGGGGAAUGAACAAGGCUGUGACCUAUGUUAAAGAAAGAUAUGGAAAUCCUACGAUGAUCCUUUCUGAAAACGGAAUGGACCAGCCAGGAAAUGUCAGCAUCGCUGACGGUGUACAUGACACAGUAAGGAUCCGGUUCUACAGAGACUACAUAACCGAGCUCAAGAAGGCGAUAGACAAUGGAGCACGAGUGGUUGGGUACUUUGCUUGGUCUCUGCUUGACAACUUCGAGUGGAGACUCGGCUACACUGCCCGUUUCGGCAUCGUCUAUGUGGACUUCAAUACUCUGAAGAGGUACCCCAAGGACUCAGCCUUGUGGUUCAAGAACAUGCUCUCAGAGAAGAAGAGAGGCUAG